CAGCAGGCCACCGCCCUGUGCCCA
rnacentral:piRNA from 1 species